rnacentral:lncRNA from 1 species
UAUGUUGCCAUGGUAUUUAUGCGUAGGUCUGGCAUGGAAAAGGAUGAAUCCAAUAAUCAAUUACAAACUUACGAUAUCAUAUGUUGUGUGCUAUCUUCAGUUACGCCCGGAUAAUAUAGAAUGAGUAUGUACCAAGAAACCAUGUGUUACUCAAAAUACAAACAUUGAGAUAACUCAUAGCUCAUUGUUGUUCAGAUGUUUGUUAGUACGAUAUGACAUGCAUGGUUUAUAUAGAUAUAUUGCUACCUUUUUAAUCUCCGUUUAUAAUACUAUAUUUGAGAAAACUAUUGCAGUGUUUUGUUCGACUUUAUUGUAUCAUCUGAAUACUAUUGUACCCGACAGUUAUAAUUAUAUUUUCAAACACAUUAACCAGUGUGAUUUCUAUUUUCCGCAGACCUUUGACUUUUUGGUGAAGCGAAGAAGUGAAGGACUAUCCUUCCUUUCAUACCUAAAAUGACCUGGUAGUUUUCCUAAGAAAGUUAUCCUAUCAUGUGAUAGACUAUUAGGUGAUCUCCCAUUAAUAAUGCAAUAGAAUCACUCCUGACUGAUCACCUGAAUCGCUCCGGACUGUUGUCAUUUGCAUCUUAAAUUAUCUGUCUAUGUACAUUAUUUAAUCACUACAUGUUUUUUCUUACCAACUUAGAUCAUUUUCCAAAUGAAUCUUAGAUGAGAGGAAUAAGAAAUAUAUAAGUUGGUAGUUUUUUGUUUAUUUAACUUUUGAGAGAAAAAUAUAAGGUAGACCAUGUGGACAUACUCUUAAAAUUAUACGAUGAAUUGAUGUAGGGUCAUACAGACCAGAACUUUGUUGCACGGUCAUUGGGAAAAGUUAAGUCGUGCCUGAGUGGAUAAAAUAAAUGACAAAAUAUGACUAUUGCAUGGGAAACAAAUUCAAGUCAUAUCGUGUUCCCAUUUGGUUUUGUCUCUGUGUGUAGGUAGACGCUGUGAUAUUAAAGAAAAUGAAAUUCAAGGCUUUUUGAUAUGCUUACAUAGUUCAUCUAAGAUUAGUAAAAAACAUAUACUUAACCGGAACUCUCUCAAAAGAAACAAUAAGAGAAACGUUAAAUGAAUGAAUCUAUCAAUUUCUUACUUAUAUUUCAGAGUUUUAGUUAUAUAACAUAUUGGUUAUUCUUCAGGAUGCCUAAGCAAUUUUUACAUUUUGGUGUUGCAUCUGGUGUACAAUGAAAUAUAAGCAUUUUCUGAUGCACAAGACACAAAACAAACUGUAGUUUGGAAUAAUUAAACUUUCAAGAGCUUAUAACCAAGCCUCUAUAUUGAUCAUUAGUGCAAGUUUUCACACGCAAAUCUUUUUUCAAAAAGGUUUAGUUGAUGUAUUGGUUUAAAAAGCUAGCUUGUGCAUUUGCACGGGUUUUAUAGAACGCGGCGUUCGUGUUGUGCUCGCGCCGGUCUGCUAUGGGUGUGUGAUGUGUGCCGGCCAGCGUCCGUGUUCUUGUGUGUGGCGCUCCACAGGCAGAGGAAGCUGCUGGCUUCCUGCAGAGGAGGAUUAGGAUUAGUAUAGCAUAGAUUAUGAUAUCUCCCUUGAUUUCUGGUCUGCAUUAGUAUAACAGGGCACUGAUAUUUGUUUUGUGGUGUAGGAGCUUGAAGACAACAAGGGGCCAUAGGAUAUCCAUAGGAUUCAUGGAAAAACAUUCUUCUAUGAUUUUCUCCCCGAAACUGAAAUUAUUUCGCCCCUAAAUUCAAAUCCUUUUGAGAGAGUGAGUAUUUAUGAGUAUGCUCUAUUGAUGUGACAAACUUGAAUACAACAAGGACUGGAAAGUAACUGCAUUUCUCACCCUUCCACUUAUAUUCAAGGCAACAUCAAACUUCAGUCAGAAGAACAUGACCAGGCAGGGAGCUUCCUACAACACUGGAUGUGAGAAAGUUUGGCAUUAGCAAGUGCGGCCACCACUCUGCCCCUCCCCUUUGCACUAUCCUUGGCUACCUUGUUGCUCACUUCGUGUGUGGCCACUUCAUCCCCAACCUAUCAGAGCAGAGUCUGGUAGACUGGUGGACAAAAGACUACACCAGUUUCAGUUUCAUGUCUUGUACGGUUGGAACUUACAAAAUUUAUUAUGUUCAGUGCUCUCCAGUAAGUAACAAUACAAGAGAAAAAAGUAUUACUAUUUUAAUCGUAGUUCAUGUGAAUUCAACAAGAAAAGGUUAAUCUUUUUACAUAAUGCAGAAAAGUACAACCUUACGGGUUACAUUUUAUAGAAAUUUUGAAAAUCGUGUGACAGAUUUGUUAAACUCUACAUGAGAUGUGCUUUGAAAUUUACGAUUUUCAUAUAAUAGUUAGUGAAGAAACAAC